AUCGAGGAACAUGAUUAUCAGACCAAGUUCCGCAACGUUAUCAAGUUUCUGGGCGAAGGUGACAAGGUGAAAUGCUCUGUCCGCUUCCGUGGACGUGAGAUUACCCACGCCAGCAUCGGCCAGAAGAUUUUGGAACGUGUAAAGAGCGAAGUGGAAGAUAUUUCUGUUGUGGAGCGCCAGCCUAAGCUGGAAGGACGCAGCAUGAUUAUGAUCCUGGCUCCCAAAGCCCAAUAAAUUUGGAGUCACUUGCACAGCAAUUUGGCGCCGCAUAAUAUUCAAGGAGGAAACACCAUGCCUA
rnacentral:misc_RNA from 1 species